rnacentral:rRNA from 1 species
CGAUGUACGAAUUGUGAAACCCAGUGUGAUUCGUCUCACUAUCUUUAACUGAAUACAUAGGUUAACGAUGCGAACCGGGGGAACUGAAACAUCUAAGUACCCCGAGGAAAAGAAAUCAACAGAGAUUCCCCCAGUAGCGGCGAGCGAACGGGGAGCAGCCCAGAGUCUGAAUCAGCUUGUGUGGUAGUGAGCGCUCACCGCGCUGCUGAUGAAAAAGCACCCCGUCGACUGACCCACCAGCG